AUGGCCAGAGUAUUAGUUGGAAAGCUAACUCAAGACCCCAUCAAUGUAAUACUGGACAAAUUGUGAGAUCCCAAAUCUCUAUUAGUAACCUUCCCCCCCUCCAAAAAUGUCAAAAGAACAGAAACACUAGAGAAAAAAUGACUGAGAGUUGCAUGGAGGCGAUUUUCAAGAUGCUUAUGGACUCCAGAUCUCGGGAUCACAAGAGAAGUUAUGAAGCUCAUUUCCUGACCUUCGAAUGACAUAAGGGCAGAGAGAAGACUUUUUUAUAUAUAACCUUUCCAUAAUAAAUAUAUUUUAUGUACAGAGGAUCUAUACCGAGGAAUUCCACUAUAUCAUCCAACAAUUAAAUUGUUUCAAUAUUUACCCUGCCUUCGGCUGCCAAGUCUGAACUCGGAGUAAUGCAAGAGUAAUUUAAAAAGAUUUUUUUAGAAAAAGAAAAAGAAACAAGAAGGAAAAUAGCUCCCAAAGGCCCUUGGGCAGAAGUGCCCGAUGUCAGGAAACAUUUGUUUUUACUUCCUUCGCCGCCAAAUGAAUUUUACUCAUGGCAGCGGUUUCGAGCUGGACUGAAUCCAUACAGAAGCUAACCAGAAGCAUUUCGUUUCUCAAAUAAAUGCCUCUGCUGGGAAUACAC